UCCAUUUCUCUGGUUCUCGGGUGAAUUCUGUUUCUGCCUUCUCCGGCGAGGCGAUCGGAGCUUUAUCUCACAUCGCGCUUCGUAUUCCGGCGGGUUGCGGGAAGUUAACCAUCUCACUGUGUGCGCAUUUUAGCCUGAGAACCUCUGCGUCUGCUAAUCCGCGCGCCUUCCUCCUUCCAUCGCGAAUCCGUGGAAAUUGCAAUAUUUUUUGAGCAAAACCAGAGGCCAAUCAUUUUUUUCGACGGCAUCUCGAUGUAUAUAGGCUUGAACACAUACAGUUGUCCCUUUCCAGUUUCAGGGUCUGUAUGAUGAGAAUAAGGUUUGAAGCACUAAAGAGCGAAGCGGGCGAGAAAUUGUUCAUGAGAUCAGGAAGAGCUCGUGAUGAUAUAUCCAGCUUCAUUUAUGUAAAUAAGGAUAGGUACAUAUGUUCUAUAUAGACCGACAAUUCUACUCUUCUUCCCGAUGCUUUUUUGCGUUUUUCUUUUCUUUGUAUUUCAGGUCAUACAUAAAUUCAGAAGCACUUUUGAAGAUCAUGGAACACACUGACUUACCAUUUCCAAGUUUCCACGACUUGCAUUCUUUAUGCAAUUUGUGCAUCUGAGGAAUGUAUUUGGGAUGCACAUAUCCGUACUGUGGACGGAGAAGAAGGACGAAACCAAGGAAGAAUCCAGCUAUGAAUCCUCCACAGUGAGCAGAAUUAUCCACAUGCGGCAAGAAUCCGACACUCAGAUUCAACGCGAUGAUCAGAAUUAAUGUCAUUGACCAGUUUGUGAUCAAUUCGGAGAGCAUCCCUCCGAGUAGUCCGAACAAGGCACCCGAGGCUCCAACUGAUACCCGUUCACCUCCGGAGUCUGUCAAGCAAGACACUAGGCUUCCACCGAGACCGGAGAUCAGGAGUCCUCCGUGAAACCAUAUGCAAGAGACGAGCCGCCAUUUCUCACCGGCCUGCACUAGUCUCCGUUCAAGGGCUCCAAGUUUUAUCAGCC